CAAAGGCAGAAAGCUAGGACGAAAACAUCCAGUUUUAACAAAACUAAUUGAACCUAUAAACGCGAUGUUCGGCUAAACCACAUGACGGUUGGUGAAACAGAGGCCAGAUUGAGACUCUGCAGGUAGAGCCACUUCUUGGUAGACAGCAUGUGGGGGACGGCGGCUAUGCGUGGGUUUUCAACAGCAGCGUGUGUGAGCGUGUGAGCCAUUUUCUGGUGAAGGUCUGAACUAACAGUUUGCUUCAAGAGGUGUUGUUCAUUUUCAGUUUUGAGCACUAUGGUGAAUUUAGAUGAUUUUGCCUUUGCACGUUCGGAGUUAACUUUUGCUCGAUUGGUUGCUGCAACUGUUGUAGGUAACAAUUUAUGGUUUGCCCAGUAUCUUUUUUUUUUUUCUAUUGAAAUUAUUUAUAUUGUGUAGGGUAACAAUUUACUUUACUCAUUAGAUGUCAUCGUGUGGGGGUAACAUCAUAAUCGAUGUUAUCGUGAAGGAAUAAUCAUUUACUGUUGCCAGACUUAAAAAUUAUUUGUUAAUUUUUUGAUUGUUAAUUUGUUGCCAAUUAAUUUUUUCAUUCUUUGAAUUGCAUGUCAUAUUAGGAAAGUUUAUUUGACUAUUUUGCAUAAUGCUGAUACUUUGCUUGUGGUCACGGUUUGUUACAUUUUGUCUUUUGUGCGUUUGUUGGUGAAAUGAUAACACAUUUUGAGUUGUGUUCUUUCCAAUGGAGAAAUGUGAUUUUUCAAUUCGACAAAAUGAAAAGUUUUUACAUAACUGUUGACAGCAAAUGUAGGUUUAAAGCAAGUGCUAAAAGUACAAUGUAUUUUUUUAACGUGGUAUUUUGAACAUAUUGAAAUAAACUAGCCUAGAAGAAUAAUUGGAGGAAAGAUAAGGAGAAAGGUGAUGUAAAUAUUACCAUUGGGCGUAGUUAUGACCCAUGUGAGGUUUAGUGAGAAUAAAUCUGGUUAUUGAAUGUGCCUCUAUGCGUAAUCUUUUUUGCAUGUGUGAUUGAUUAAUUCUUUUGCAUGGUUAUAUGUUACAUUUCAAUACGUUUGAUAUGUUCAUUUGCAUAAAUCUAAAAGCAAUAUGAUUGCUUUGUGUAAUGUGUUUUGAAUAAAUAGUGAGUUGAUAUCUAUGGCAUACUCUUGCUCUUUGCGAGACUCUUUUUAUGAGUGUAAUAAUGUAAACAAUUCUUUCUUCUAUUCUCUUUGUGAGUACUCCCUUCAUAUUUUCCAUUGUGGGAUGAAUCCUUUGUAGAUUUCUUUGACUUUGGUGUUGGAGUAACCUUUUGUUGCACCGGUCGAUUUAAGUUUGAACCUUACCUUUUGUGGUCAUCAAAAGAUGUAGAUUUUGCCCUAGUAGGUUUGAGAUGCGUUAACAGUAAGUGUGUUGUAUGUCUUUCGGUAAUGUAAAGUAUAGAUGCUAGAGGUAUAUUGGGGAUAUGCACGCGAGAUGUGGAUAGUGACUUUUGGUUCACUAGUGGAGAUAUGUUUAAAUGUCUAGAAUCCUCUAUUUGUGAAAGACCUUGUAUAGAUGAAGUGUGCAAAUGACACUUAUAUCACUUUUGUUAGGUGAAGACCCACUAUCACUUAGGUUGAGAGAAGUGAGGUGGUGAUAGAAGAUUAUCCCAUGAACUUAGGAUCUAUUGUGAUUUACCAGUUAGACAUGUGUUGGUGAUUAGUCCGUGAGUAUGGUGGGUGUGAGAGGAGAUAUGUUUUCACAAAGAACGAGCUACAUGGAAUGAGACAGGGUAAGUGUGGUUGAUCUUUUCGUGGGGGCAUUUAUAUAUUUGUUGUAUAUAUGUUUGGCAAUUUGAUUAAUUAACUUGGUGUUAAUAAGUUGUUCUAUGCGAACAUGUUUGAAAUGGUCUGUGUUUAUCCUAUGUUAUAUUUUCAUCUUAUGUUUUAUUGCUUUUAAUCGAUUACUAUGAUUACUUGCUUCUACUUGGGUAUUUCUUGACUUUAGCCCUAGUGAGUAUAUGGAAUAGGUAUGAUAUGUGAUUCGGGUCUGAGACAUGAGGUAAGGUCCUUGAUCCCAAUUUAUAGGUUACCUUGAUUAUGCAAGUAUUAAAUUUAUGUUUUAAUUGCCUGCAAGUUGAUUGGGUUUCAAGGUAGAGAUUUGUUAGGUUUUGAUACCCAAUAAAUUUGGGCGAUAAUUUAAAACAAAUGGAUAAUUUAUCGACAUUAUAGACUUGGCUCGGCCUAGAAAAAACAUAUACUUAUGGUUGGUCCAAGUAAUAAUUGGGUUAUUAGAUUAUCGGUUUAGAUUAAUUGUUACCCCAUUUGUUUGAUAUUAUUCUUAGCCCACUUCAUCUUAGCCUAUUUAAGGAUAAGUUAUGCCCAUUUAAGCGAUCCAAUGUGUUUGCGCGCGCAUGCACACACAUAUAUAUCCAACCUUACGUGUAGUCAUGUGUGGGUAUGUGUUGUGCAAGAGAGUGGAAAGAAAAUGAGAGAGGGAGGGUAGACAACUUGGGAGGAAUUGGGAGAGAUUUCUACCAUUGCUGUUUCUUCUUCUUCCUACUAUUGCUAAUCCCUCCACCGUCUUCUCCUUUGUAGUGUUGAGAGGAUUUGUGGCAACCAAGGUGUUGGAAGAGUUUUUGGGUCACAUUCAAGCUGGCUAUGGUAUUUGUUUGGUUGGUUUUUUUGAGCCCAGAUGAUUGAUUUCUUGAAGAUUUCCGCAACAAAGCCCUACAACAAGACUUUGCCACCAUUCGUACAAGGGUGGACUCUGUCCAUACCAUACAACAAUCUAUGGACUCGACUAACAGAAAACUGCCCUUGAGCAAAGCUGCAUCAGUAGAGCAUGCAAUCAGGUCAUACGAAAAUUGGAUAGAUGUACCGUACAGCUUGAUGACAUACAUGUGCACAUUUCACAGGACACUGAUUUGUCGGUUCUUCCCACUUCAAUCCACCAACUCUAAUUCCACUUCCAUCUGAUAUCACACCCCGACAUGUCUUUAGACUCCUUUUAUUUUCUUUUGUUAUGUUUACUUUGAGGGAAUUAGAGUGUUGGAAAAAAUUUAGCAUAUUUUCACAAAAUUUAUUAAUUGGCUUACUUAAUUUUUGUGUUGAUUUUUAAAUGUCAAAUGAGCUUUUAAAAAUGUGAAAAAAUUUACGAGUCCUAUCAAUAACCAGUAUUGAUUAAUUGGAUGGCAAUAUAACUAAAUCUAUUAACAUAUCAAGAAAAUCUUUUAGGAUAUACAAAUCUUCUUGCCAUGCUUAGUGUUUCUUAUUUAGGUUAGAAUUAAUAUCAAUCUUUGUUAAUUGCUUUACCUUUAAGUAAGGUAAUCAAACAAGAUUAGAAUCAAGCUUUGAGAAAUUAUUCAUGCGUUCAGUGUCCUCGUGUUUCUGGGUUUAGUCGUCGUCGUGUAAUUUCAAAUGGACUUAUGCUUUAUUGAUUACUUUCAUGUCCAAAGUCUUUUUCAAAGCUGUUUGGCGAAAAAAAAUUAAUAUGUGCUGAAUGUGCAAUCCCAUUCAUUGAUCAUGCUGCUUGAUGUGAAUUAAGAAUGGUGAUUCUUAAUUCAAUUGGUGGUUGUGACCGAAUAUAUUAGGAAAGUGUUGAUAAAAUCAAGAUUGGAUGGUUUGAUUUCACUUCAUAAACAAGU
rnacentral:lncRNA from 1 species